GAUGAAUGCUAGCGGCAGGCCUAAUACAUGCAAGUCGAACGGUGUCUUCGGACAUAGUGGCGCACGGGUGCGUAACACGUAUGCAACCUACCCUACAUUGGGGGAUAGCCUUUCGAAAGGGAGAUUAAUACCGCAUAAGACAGUAGCUGGGCAUCCAGCAGCUGUUAAAGAUUUAUCGAUGUAAGAUGGGCAUGCGUCCAAUUAGUUAGUUGGCGAGGUAACGGCUCACCAAGACUUUGAUUGGUAGGGGAACUGAGAGGUCAAUCCCCCACACUGGCACUGAGAUACGGGCCAGACUCCUACGGGAGGCAGCAGUAGGGAAUAUUGGGCCAUGGACGCAAGUCUGACCCAGCCAUGCCGCGUGCAGGAUGAAGGCGUUAUGCGUUGUAAACUGCUUUUAUACAGGAAGAAACGACUCUUGCGAGAGGCAUUGACGGUACUGUAUGAAUAAGCACCGGCUAACUCCGUGCCAGCCGCCGCGGUAACAC
rnacentral:rRNA from 1 species